UCCGUCUCCGCGGGACGGGGCGCCGCCGCCGCGGGCCCUUCACCCUCGCUGUCCGGCUCCGCGCCCCCCGAGUCGGCACGGCGCUCCCGGGACGGGGCGACGGCCCGGGGCGGGGGACAAAGGUCGCGAUCUACGGGCCAGCCGGCCUCUCCAGGCACGUGUAGGGAGCGGGGACCGCCCCAUCCAGGCGUCAGCGGGGGGCGGUGGGUACCGAUCACUCACAGGGACACACCGCGCCUGCUGGUGUAUGCAAAAAAGUCAAGGAUGUCGGUAAAGGGAUAGGUUAAGGACAAGGGAUGUCCUUAAGCUGUCACGAUGACGCCGGUUUCGUUGUCAGAUGAGCAACAUUCUAGCACGUCGGUUGGCUCGAGGAGACGCUAGGAGCGCAGCUGAGAGUUUGUCUGAGAGAGGGAAAUGCCUCUGUGCCCGGGAACAUUGGUCUCUGCGGUGCGGGGAAACAGCUGCGUGUGCGGAGCGAGCCCAGCGGCUUUGGCUCUCAGGAUGGGCGGAAUGGUGGGGAAAAUUACACCCGCGUUAACAAAGAAAAUUCACAGCCAAAUUUACUACCUAGAGGGGUAAACACUUGCUGUCCUCGGUGGACUAACUAAUUCUUUGAGAUCUAAAUGUGCAGACAGAGAAUUCGUUUCAUUUUGCACAUCGCAGCAGUGCUGCCUUCUCCUGUGCAAUGCUGUGUGUGGGAAAUGUUUACACAAAUCCUGCGUUUACCAGCGUUGCCCCACCGUGCCAGUCUUUUCCCUCACUCCUUGUCUUUUGGUUGAAGUUUUCAUCCAAUGUGGAAGCAGGUGAUUUUGUGAUGAAUCAUUUUUCACUCACUUUCUGGGGGGAAGUUGCUUUAAAACUACUCCUGUGUUGAAGGUAAUACCUAAAAGUGCAUUGUGGCACACACUUCCUUUUUUGUGAGCCCUCCAAAAAAUUGAAUACUAAUUAUACACUACAGGAAAAGGUGUGAAAAUAGCACCAGUCCUUCAGAUAAGACAAUCUUUAUAAUCUUUUUGUAUGUAGAUUGUCUUCUUCCAGAAAUAAGCAAGAAAUUAUAUUUUUGCAGUAUGAAGUUACUUCCACUGUUGACACACACUCCAGACUGCAGGCUGUCUGGAAGUUCAGGAAGGCUGUUCCUGUGCAUUUUGGGGCAGGAGUCUUGCAGACAUAAGCUGACAGUUGCCAUGCACUGCACGUCAUUUGCUUCUGGAGCUUUGGCGUUCCGUUUUCCUGUUAGUUCUAAAUUUAAACAAAGCCUUUUCAAGAUAACUUAAUUGCAAAACCUAGAUCCAGAUUUUAUUUUAUUUUUUUUUUUCCUGGAUUCAUUUUACUCAAGUAUGAUAACAGAUACUACCUUUAGUUUAAUACCCUCUUAGGGUAAGCGCCACAUUUGGAAAAGAGGCAAGCUUUUAACAGUGGACAAAAAGCCUUCAGACCUGCUUAAGGUCUUCAAGUACUUAGAGACAAGGUUUUGUCAAAGGUUUAAAACAAAGUGUUUUUCUGAAUAUAAACAUACUCAUGGCUAUCCAGAAUUACACUCCUAGGUAGUUUAUAUCAAGCAGAUCGAGGGAAUAGUUAUAAAAUACCUUUUUUCCUUCCUUUGUUGUGAUUUUUUGUUUUAAAGUGUACAAACUUGCAAUGCUGCCUAAAAACAGUACAAAAUUUGGAGUCUAGGUUUCCAUACCUCUCCCUAUGAUCUGGAAGAAUCAGUUACAUGUAUGAUUUUCAGGGUUCUUACUGUGAUACAAUGUUGAAAACUGUGGGAUUAGAUAUUUCUUUCACUAAAAAUUGAAAAAGUUAGACAUCCACUGUACCAGAGCAUCUCUUAAAAGUUGAUAGCCUCUGAAGUGGUCUCCAUAAGCCAGACUUUGCAAUGGGGUGAUUUCCACCAUGAAUUCUUUUUUAUCUGUUUUGCUUCGGUUAGUGCUGCUAAAGUCCCUGAUGAUUAGGGAAAGAAAAUUACUGCAAGUAAGGCUGGCAAGAUUGAAAAAGCUGAUUAUGGACCUUGAAAUUGAUAUGAUAACUGACCUGUGGAAUGCCUCAAAAGACAUUUGGGGUAUUCAUCUGAAGAGGUGAGACAACCUGUAACCCGGUUGAAGUGUCCAUGCAGCUAUGCUCAUGGCAUGGGUAACACAACAGCUGGAAACCACGGUGCUGCUGGAACACUGUGGUCUAACCACGGUAACUGAGAUGUGGAGGGACAAGCUGCGUGCUGGAGCACUGCACCAGUGGCUAGGAAAUGUUCAGAAGGGACAGGCAAGUAGGGAGGAGUCAGGAUGAUGUUACCCUCAGUGUGAAAAAUGGAUGAACUACAGGGAGCUGCCAUGGAAAACCAGCAAUGAACAGGUAAAAUGGGUAAAAAUAUAUAGGUGAAAACUGGGGUCAAACCAACAAGGGGAACUUCAUGGCUGAUGUUUGCUACAGGCCACCAGAUCUAGGGGAGGAUGUUAAUGAAGUUUUUCCUUCAGCUACAGGAAGAUUCACACUCCAGGCUCUGAUCCUGAUGUGGGGUUUCAGCCACUCUGCCAUCUGCUUUAAGGAGGCCAGGAGUGCUCCAGAGUUCUUAAUCCAGGUGAUAGCACAACCAAAGGAGAAACUUUACCACAAUAAUAAGAAGAAAGACUUGUGCAGAUGGUGGGAGAAACUGUGAUUGCUUCAGGGCUGCCAAAAAAUUAAAGUGGAAAAGAUGUGAGCAAUUCCUUGGUGUCAAUCUUUGCCCUGCACCUUCUAGUUUCAUUACUUCUGCUUGGAAAUGUCUGGUAGUGGUCACUUUGAUCUGACAAGUUGAAGAUUUUGCUCCUGAGUAUGAGAUUAAUUUAGAAGCUUCUUGCAUAGAAGUCUACCUUCAUCUGUCCUGCUAGCCUGGUUCUUGAUGAGGUUCAUGCAAACCCUUUCACGAGUAUGAGGAAGGAGAUUUCCAAUAUGAGUCUUCUUAGCCAGUAAGUUUCUUAUUACACAUUAUAGGUCUGAUAGGAAGAGGAAUUUAAGGAGUUUAUAAGUAUAAAAUGAACAUUUUCCCUUCUGUCUUUUGAGAUGAGAAAAUAACUAUUACUCAGCCAGGGCACAAUGCCUCAGGGAGUGAAAAGUGUUGAGGUCAAAAGCAGUCAGACUGAGAGGAAGAAACUUGGAGCUUCUCCAAGCAGUUUCUAAACUGCAGUUUCUCCUAGACCAGACUUUCAGCUGGCACAACCUAAGGACCCAGGAUCUGGAGUCUGCCUAAUGUAAGCACAGUUCCUGAGUGGGGCCACCUGGUAUUCUAAGGACAGUUUUCCUCUCAGAUUCAUACUGACAUCCUGAGGACCUGCUGGCUUCACACAUCACCUGUGAGAGGAAGUUUUCAAAGGCAGUUUUUUGUGGAAAGCUCUUUUAGAACAUGAUGAGAAACCCAUACCAUGAAAAGGAGUGUGAGAUGAGUUCACAUUGCUGCAGAGAAGAGAGACAGACUUUGGCUACAGACCCAUUAACGUCACUUUCUUUUUUAAUACUGAAAAUACUGAGUUGUGCCAUGUUCACAGAGGCAUAAAAAAACCCUUCUCCACUCACAAUGUUGAAAGAAAUUUAGUCCUUUUACCCAGGGAGGUUUCAAAGCUUACAUCAGAGAAAUCCUGUCAUGCUUCUCCUGUUUUCCCUUGCAGAUUGGUGGUCUGAAUUCUGUAACUUCUCUGACAGAAGAUUAUAUAGAAAAUAACAGUGAAGACACAAGGAUAAGCACAUCUCUGUGAAAGAAAAGUAUCCAGAAUACCCUAGAGGCUGCAAGUGGCAUGAAGAAACAGUUAUAUCUCCAUUUUGAACAAGAUGGUUUCUUUCAAUGAUGUCACAAAUCAGUCAUUUAGGUCAUUUAAAGGGUAUUUUCAAAAGGACAUUCAAUAUAAAUUUGUGAAAGUGUGACUUAACAAAGUUUGGUGGCAAGGUUCACUCUGUGACCUAGAAUAUAGAUGAAGCAUACAUAGAAAAAUUGAAUUAUGAAGCAUACUUAAAUCAAUUGGAUUAGAAUUAGCUUAGAACGGUUCACAUCAUAUAUGAGGAUGCAAAAUGAUAAGGAUGCCAAAGGACAAGUGAGACACCCCUGUUGAGCCAUGAAGCUCAGUGAGGAUCCCCUUGCUUUCUAAACUCCUGAUGCAGCUGAGCAAAAUCUUAGUCCCAGCCCCUUGGUCAAUAGUUUUUGUCUAAAAGAUUUGGCAGUGCAUGAUCGUUGACAAAUUUAACAUUUAGAAAGAGAAGCAACGGGAUUUACUACAAUUACAACAGUGACUUGAUAAUAGAUUCAGAACAGCAGACUCAUACUUCACUUGAUAGAGGGUAUUUGAAUUAAUUCAGACACACACAAACACAGACGUGUAUAUGGAUAUAUACCUAGAAGGCACCUGCUAAGAUUGACACCAAAUGUGUUUGCAUCUCUGUGGGUGAAGGGUUGAGCCUCAAGGAGCUGGGUGCCAGCACAGGCCCUGUUUUCAGUUUUUAAUCACUGUUCUGAGUAUUCAAACCUGUGAAUUGGUGAGCUCUGAGAGACUCUGCCAAGACAUUGGUGCAGCCACUGCAGCCUAGGGGAGCUCAAAGGGCCUCACCUGGGACUGUUGUUCAUAGGGUUGCAAGUUGCCUGGCUUUAGUCUUCAGUCAGUCUCCAUCCUGGCCUCAAUCCAGAGCAGUAAUUUUCAUCAAAAUUUCAGUAACAAUAAUAUUAUUCCAUUUGGGCUAUGAUUCAGGCGAGUUAAGUUCCAAGGCUUUCAGGGUUAUCUCUUGUCCCCUUCCUUGGCUAGGCAAGAGAAUUUCCUGCCAUGGACCAGGAUAAGAUGUUUUUGAUAAGUUUAAGGGGAGACUCAUCAUCCAAGAGCAGUUUAUCAAGGACAAAGCCUAACUAGACUUCCUGAGAUCUCAGAGCAGUCUAGGAGACAGCAGGAAUGCACCACAUGUGCUAGAAGUCUCUUGUAAAAUGGUGAAUCUAAAGGAGGUACAGAUUAGUGGAUCUGAAAGUAGACUGAAAAAUUAAACGACACUGCUUCACACUUGGAUAUGUAUUUUGUACUAAUUUGUUAUUGUAUGUAUUUGUAAUCUGGUAUAUUGGCUGAUAAUCCUAUUAAUAUGAAUAAUCUCUGGUUUUAUCCUUUGUACAGUGUGAACAUAGAAUAAACAGAAUGAAA